rnacentral:rRNA from 1 species
CGCCAGAGAUGGCUUAGUGCUCGAAAGAGAACCGUAACACAGGUGCUGCAUGGCUGUCGUCAGCUCGUGUCGUGAGAUGUUGGGUUAAGUCCCGCAACGAGCGCAACCCUUGUCAUUAGUUGCUACAUUCAGUUGGGCACUCUAAUGAGACUGCCGGUGACAAACCGGAGGAAGGUGGGGAUGACGUCAAGUCCUCAUGGCCCUUAUAGGUGGGGCUACACACGUCAUACAAUGGCUGGUACAAAGGGUUGCCAACCCGCGAGGGGGAGCUAAUCCCAUAAAACCAGUCGUAGUCCGGAUCGCAGUCUGCAACUCGACUGCGUGAAGUCGGAAUCGCUAGUAAUCGUGGAUCAGAAUGUCACGGUGAAUACGUUCCCGGGUCUUGUACACACCGAAUCAGGCGCUUGGUCAGGGGGGAUU